CUGCCUCUGCCUCCUGAGUGCUGGGGUUAAAGGCGUGGGCCACCACUGUCAGCAGUCUCUCUCUCUCUUAAAUGUUUAUUUAUUCUUCUUUCAUUAUUACAUCCUAACUACAAUCACCCCCCCCAUUCUCUCUGACCCUUCCCCCAACUUCCUAUCUCCCCCAGAUCCAAUUCUCUGUUUCCCUUCAUAAAAACACAGGCCUCCCAGGGAUAUCAACCAAACAUGGCGUAGCAAGUUCCAAUAAAGGCACACACCCUCAUAUCAAGGCUGCAUGAGGCAAACCAGCAGGAAGAAAAGGGUUCCAAAAGCAGGUCUCUGGGCUGUCCAGCGUCAGUUCCUGACCCUCCAAGCAGUGUCAAGUGUGGGCUCUCUCUUUAUCUGGAUUCCCUGAGCUCUACCUAAUGUUGGGCUGUGAGUCUGCAUCUGUUUCCACCACUUGCUGGAUGAAGCCUCUCUGAUGACAAUUGGGCUACACACCAAUCUAUGUGUAUAGCAGAAUAUAGUUAGGCAUCAUUACAUUGACAUUUUUAACCCACAGAAUCAACUAUUCUGGGCUCACGGGGGCCUCACAGAGAGUGAACUGACAACCAGGGAGCCUCUUGCUGGCUUUCAGGAUCCUACUCCUCAUACUGGGUCACUUUGCCCAGCCUUAGUCUUACUGCAACUUGGUAUGAUAUCCACGGGAGGCCUUCCCUUUCCUGAAAGAAGCAAAGCAGGA